GGCGCUUGAGAGAACUCGGGUGAAGGAACUCGGCAAAAUGGUACCGUAACUUCGGGAGAAGGUACGCCUCUGUUUGUGAACACUUCGCGUGGUAAGCAAAUGGAGGCCGCAGUGACCAGGUGGCUGGGACUGUUUAUUAAAAACACAGCACUCUGCAAACUCGUAAGAGGACGUAUAGGGUGUGACACCUGCCCGGUGCCGGAAGGUUAAUUGAUGGGGUUAGUUUUCGGACGAAGCUCUUGAUCGAAGCCCCGGUAAACGGCGGCCGUAACAAUAACGGUCCUAAGGUAGCGAAAUUCCUUGUCGGGUAAGUUCCGACCUGCACGAAUGGCGUAACGACUUCCCCACUGUCUCCAACGCAGACUCAGCGAAAUUGAACUCUCCGUGAAGAUGCGGAGUAC
rnacentral:rRNA from 1 species